rnacentral:sRNA from 1 species
GCUGGGUCCAGUGGUAUAUGCCUAUAAUCCCAGCUACUUGGGAGGCUGAAGCAAGAAGGUUGCUUGAGCCCAGGAGUUUGAGAAAAACCUUGGACAACAUAGUGAGACCAGUAUCUU